rnacentral:rRNA from 1 species
CACGGGGGGGAGCAAGCGUUGUUCGGAAUCACUGGGCGUAAAGGGCGUGUAGGCGGUCAAGUAAGUGGAAUGUGAAACGCCUCGGCUUACCCGAGGACCUGCAUCCCAAACUGCUUGGCUUGAGUAUGGGAGAGGAUGAGGGAAUUCCUGGUGUAGCGGUGAAAUGCGUAGAUAUCAGGAGGAACACCGGUGGCGAAAGCGGAGACCUGGGGAGCGAUUGACGCUGAGGUGCGAAAGCGUGGGGAGCAAACAGG